CAUCAUCAUUGGUGCUUUCUGAUACAAGCAGCUGCAGAGUCUCACAAAUUAUAUAUUCUCGGGAAAGAUUAAACAGGAGUGGGGACAGAAUGCAGCCCUGUCAUACUCCUCUCAUUCUAGGUGGAAUUUCUCCAACAUUGUUUCUCUGUUAAUUCAAACAUUUGCCAUGCUCCCCUCGUACAGUUGUUUUAUCUGCAGUCACACCAGAAGUAUUGGGGCUCCCAUCUCGAUUAAAAUUCUCCACAGUUUUUGCCAUUGUACGCAGUCAAACGCUUUCUUGUAAUCUACAAAACACAGAACAGUAUGCACAUUGUAUUUGUGUGCUUUCUUCACACCAGAAGUAUUGGGACUCCCAUCUCGAGUAGAAUUCUCCACAAUUUUUGCCAUUGUACGCAGUCAAACGCUUUCUUGUAAUCUACAAAACACAGCACAAUAUGUACAUUGUAUUUGCGUGCUUUCUCAAUCAGCAAUCUGAGGUUCAGGAUCUGCUCCCUAGUUCCUCUUCCUCUCACAAAUCCUGCUUGUUCUGGAGGGAUUUGACUGUGCAUGAGUGAGUAUAACCUGUCGUACAUGAUCUUUAAUAGUACAUAUACCUACUUUCUGACUAAAAUUAUGUACCAAAAAUUGAGCCCAGAUUUCAUUUAACUUGUAAAAAAAAUGAAAAUAAUUGGUACUACCAAACAUGAAACGAGGUUAAAUUGCUGCCAGGUACAAGUAAUUUCAGCAGGUUUUUAUUGAGAUAAAAUUUUUCAUAUACUUCUUUGGCUUUUUUUUACGAUUUUUGUUGUCAAUUUUCUAAUUAUUUUUUCAACUAAUUUUCUAUAAAAUUUUAAAACAAUUUUCUAAUGACCUAUUCCUAAUUGUCUGAUAAUUUCUUUUGUUAAUUUUCCAAGUAAGUAUGUAGUGAUUUUCACCCACACAUACUUAUAUAUCAAUUUCCCUCACCAAACCAAAUUUCUAUGAUUUUUCCCAGUGAUUCUUUUCUUCAUUUUUUUCCUAGUGAUUUUACAUUUUUUAUUCUCUCUUGAUUUUACCCGAGCUACCCAAUAUGAUUCUUUUCUAAUCAGUUCAUUAUAAGUAUUUUCAGUAGUUUUCUAGAUAUUUCUCCCUGAUCUACAUAAGUAAACUGUCAAGCAAAAAAUAUUAUUUCAUACACAAUUAAAAAAAGGUUUUUCAGAUAAAUUUAAAUUCCAUUUUUCCCCUCAAUCUAAAGACCACACAAUUCUUGAGCAACUGUAUGUAGGUAGUAAUCUGACACAACUAACAGCAUUGUUAUCUACUGUAUCAUAGGUAGCUAAUUUCAACGUCGUACCAAUCAAAAUUUUUCUUCAUCAGAUAACAACCAUUUCAAAUUCAAACAGACUAUCGUGCCUCAAACGCUAAGAGUAUUUCAUUUUACUUUUCAUCCUGAGCGAAUGGUAUAUUCAUUAAAUGCAUCGUUUUAGAAAAUAUAAUAUGUGAAUCAUGUAUAUUACGCAAUUCGUCAUUAUCUCCACUAUUUUAUUGCUCGAUAUCAGCAACGCUUUUAGGUUCCCGUUUCGGUUCCCGUUUCGGUUCCCGUUUCGUUUUAAACCGCCACCAAUGCCACCAUACAGACGAGGACAAAUACCAGCAGGAGGAAUACCAACAGCACCACUGCCAUUCUUUUUCUUUGAUUUUCCCACCCCACCGCCAAAGAAACCAAGAUUUACAUUACCUAUAGAUAAGUACCGCCUUGAGCAAUACGUGAAGAGAAAAUUGGCUGAACGUUCAAAAAAACAUGAAACAUACAGGAGGCCAAAUUUUGUAGAGUAAGAUAUUGAUAAGAUGAUUAUAUAAAGAUCGUUGAAAUUGAAAAUUUUGAAAAAAGUUGAAAGGAUAUCAAAAUCGUGUUAAUUGAGAUUAGGAGUGGUAUGCAAAAAAUAGGGAUAAGAAUUGAAAAAUACAUUUCAAAAAUUAUGGAAUCUGCAGAAAGUAUGAAGCAAAUUUUGAAAAAUCCUUCUUUGGGAAAAAUUUUUAUUUACCCUUUACCUCUCUGAUGAAAGGAAUAAUAGAAUCUACGAUACAAAUAGAAUUAAUGCACAUGCUGCUCAAUUCUAUUCCAAAUUGGUACCUACUUAUAAAGACAAAAAACAUUUGAAUCCAUUAGAAAAUAUCUCAAGAAUAGGGCCUUUGGAGCCUGAAAUUUUAUCUAGGGAAGUGGAGUGGACUAUAAAAAAAAAAACUUGAAAAAUAACAAAUCUCCUGGUUCUGAUAAAAUUAUACAAACGAAUGCUACAAAAUAGGAGGGGAAAUUUUUGCAAAAGUGCUGACCAAUUUUUUUCUUUACAAAAUCUUGAAAGAACAAAAUACCUGAAGAUUGGAAAACAUAUUUCAGACAUCGUUUUAAUUUUCAAAAAAAGGGGGAAAAGAACAAGAUUAAUAAUAUCUCUUCAAGUUCAAACAUUUCUGAAAUUUUUCUAAAAUUCUAUAGAAAGUAGAAUUAGACCUUUUUUGUUCCAACCAAGAGAACAGGCUGGUUUUCGUUCAGUGUUUUCCACAAUAGAUCAUCUUCAUGACUCCAUGUCUUGAACCACCCAAAGUGAUAAAAUCUAAAAAUGGUGGUGGAGGUGGAGGGGAAGGGGGUAAUGUGGGUACAUUAAGGGAUAACAGAUGGACACAAAACGUCAAUUUUUGGUUCAUGGAUACAGGAACAAGAAGACAAGGAAAACAGAAGGCUAUAGCUGAUGGGAUGGCUUUAGGAAAUUACCAACUUAUCACCACUACACUACCAAAGAAUUGCCCAAUGGUGCAGCCGGAUGGAGAUUCUUGCUCUAUACAUAAAUAUGCUAGGGCCAUGUUGUAAUGUAAUGUAUUAUUCUAAUGUAACAUUGUAACUACCUAUUUAACACUUGUAAAUAAUAAAACUUUUGAUUGAUUGAUUGGCUGAUCUACCAUA